rnacentral:rRNA from 1 species
UGGGGAAUAUUGCACAAUGGGGGAAACCCUGAUGCGGCGACGCCGCGUGGAGGAUGAAGGUCUUCGGGUUGUAAACUCCUUUUCUUGGGGAAGAUAAUGACGGUACCCAAGGAAUAAGCCACGGCUAACUCUGUGCCAGCAGCCGCGGUAAGACAGAGGUGGCGAGCGUUGUUCGGAAUUACUGGGCUUAAAGGGCGAGUAGGCGGUGGAGCAAGUCUGAUGUGGAAUCUUAGGGCUUAACCCUAAAACUGCAUUAGAAACUGUUUUACUUGAGUCAGUGAGGGGAGGGCGGAAUUCCUGGUGUAGCGGUGAAAUGCGUAGAUAUCAGGAGGAAGGCCUGUGGCGAAGGCGGCCCUCUGGCACUGUACUGACGCUGAGGCGCGAAAGCGUGGGGAGCAAACAGGAUUAGAUACCCUGGUAGUCCACGCCCUAAACGGUGGGCAUUAGGUGUAGGGCUCGUAAGGGUUCUGUGCCGAAGGGAAACCAUUAAAUGCCCCGCCUGGGGAGUACGGCCGCAAGGUUG